rnacentral:piRNA from 1 species
UGACUAUGCCAAACACCUGAGCUGUGAAGU